rnacentral:rRNA from 1 species
CCUACGGGAGGCUGCAGUGGGGGAUAUUGCACAAUGGGGGGAACCCUGAUGCAGCGACGCCGCGUGGGUGAAGAAGCGCCUCGGCGCGUAAAGCCCUGUCAGCCGGGAAGAAAAUGACGGUACCUGAAGAAGAAGCCCCGGCUCACUACGUGCCAGCAGCCGCGGUAAUGCGUAGGGGGCAAGCGUGAUCCGGAUUGAAUGGGGGUAAAGGGGGCGCAGACGGCGAUGCAAGGCAGGAGGGAAAGCCCGGGGCCUAACCCCGGGACUGAUCUUGGAACUGCGUGGCUGGAGUGCAGGAGGGGCAGGGGGAAUGCGUGGUGUAGCGGUGAAAUGCGUAGAUAUCACGAGGAACACCGGUGGCGAAGGAGGCAUGCUGGACUUCAACUGACGUUGAGGCCCGAAAGCGUGGGGAGCGAACAGGAUUAGAUACCCCAGUAGUC